CGACAAGAACUUCGGGAUAGGUUCUGGGGCUGAUCCCCGUGAAAAGGAGCCUUUUUGAAAGGGUGUUUCAGGGGGAACAUGGCAGCAAGUGGUUAAAGGGCAGGUCCUCUAAAACUCCCCCUAUGAAUGGGGAAAACACUGUGGAAAAUGAACUUCCUAUAAAGCAGGCACAGCCCUCCAAGUCUCCGUGACUCAGGACGACGUGCUUUUUUGCCUCUUGAAGCUUACUUGCUUUGGAAAUGGUUUCCGGCUCCCUGGCCACCUCCGCAGCUGACCGGAAGCUUCUCUUGGGUCACAAUUCCUCCUUCUCACAGGUCUGCACACUCCAAUCAGAAACUUUGUCGUUGUACCCAUGAUGGAAGAGUUCCAAGUGGCUAGUAUUCUGAAAACAAGUGAUGCUGUCCCUCUUACCUGCUGCUGCUGAUACUUGUCCAGGAGGAAGGUGCUGUGAGAGGCCAUCGGAGCCAGUGGCUGGAAGAUGUUUGACAUGGUGCUGAAGCAGUGCUGGGGGGCCGACUGGGGGGUCUCCGGCAGGAGGCUCUCCUCAGGGCAGAUGGGGCUAAGCUGGAAGUCCUCUCCGUCCAUGGGGAUGUAAGGU